GUGGCCUCUGGUCACCUAAGGGUGUAGGCCUCAGGACCUGAUGUCAUCUUGGUUCCUGGCCAAGGCUGGGAGUUUCCUGGAAUGUGGGCAGGGCCUGGGCCUUGGAGUUCCCAUUACUGCAUGCUACAUGAUGCAUGGACAGGCAAAUUGGGUCUGGAAAUCUACCUGGAGCACUGAGGAGAUAGCAAUGCUGCAGGGAGAUGCUGUCCUGGAAAGUCACAGAUGUGUGUCAACUGUUGUCUCCUGUCCUCACAAGCAACUACAGAACCCAACAAAGUCACAGGCCUGGGGAAGUGGUCAAAUUUUUCACACAUCAGGACAUCUCUGGCACUAAGGUGAUCCUGAGAACACCCUCCAGUGACUGUCCUGUGCACUGAUCUCCACCUCUAAGUUGGCUUCUCUCACCUCAGAGCAGACCAUCUAUGGGCCGACCCUAUAACCAGACUUAUAACCAGAGGUUUGGGGGGCCAGUAGAGGCCCAUUUCACUUCUAUUUUUACAGGCACCUGGUAUAGAAAAAUGAAAAAAAAAAGCUAUAUCAGGAUUACAAAAUUUGUGGUACAUUUUCAAUGUUUAUAUUAAAUAUGUUAAAACUUUUUAAAAAGUAGACAAAUGUAAUAUGAUCUUGCUAUGCAUGAGAUAAUUAUAAGGCUUAAUAAAAGAUAUGCAUUCACAGUGACCACAUACAGAAAUGAGACCUGGUUUAAAGUAGUAUGUUUAAAGUAGUAUGUUUAGUGUAAAGCAGUAUGUAUCU
rnacentral:lncRNA from 1 species